AUCGAAUCUCCCAGCACAAUGGGAGUUUAGUUACACAUUAUCAUGAUAGCUUACAUGAAAAGAUAUAAAUGAGAUGAUGUUGUAUCAAAUGCUUGAAGCUUAAAGAUCCAAUGCUCCACCUUUGAUAAACCCUUGUUUUCUAAAGUCUCCAGGCAUUUCUUUCGUUCAAAAUAGUGACAGAUUUCCAAAAUGGAAAUGAAUUUUUCUUUAUAUGGUUAAGUGAUAAUUCGUUAAGCGGAUUAUAUGCUCACUGAACGAAUUGUAAUUUCUUUGAAAUCUUUUUCAGCUCGUCAAAGUGUGUCACUUGUUGUAAAAUUAGGCAUAAGAAUAUCCCUACAAAUAAUAAUCAACAUAUAAAUAUAAGAAUCAAUUUAUGUUAAUGAGAAUAAUCAAGAGAGGUUUCAAGGUAACUUAUAUGUCUUGAUUUUGUUGGUAGAAUUAGAUCACCGUCUUGGGACAACUUGAAUCAACCUCAUUGUAGAAUCAGCCGUAAAAAUGAACAAACAAUGAAAGGGUACUCCAAUUGUCAUCCCUAUCUCAUACCAAGUUUUUAUAUAGUUGGAAUAAUUAAUUGAUAAAAAACAUCAUUUCUAAUAAGUUUUUAUAUUUGUUACCUUAUGUAAAAGUAUAUUUACAUCAUUUAACAUAGCAAUCAAUAUGAAAAAAAUUUGAUUUAAUCGCAAAAUUAGCAUCAUUGUUUUACAUCAAUUGUGUAAUGAACUAGUGUAAAAGAUCCACAAUAAAAUCUUAUUUCUGCACUAGUGAAUUCUCAUAAGUUUCUUUUCUUAUAUUUUUUUUUUUUCUUUAAUAACUCACGAUAUUUACUCAAGCAAAUCAAACUACCAUUAUUCAUAUCUUGUCUGACUCAAGAAACACUGGUGACUGUGAAUGGUACUGCUAUGCUUUUAUUAUACAAGACAAAUAUUGUAUUUAAACACUCAACAUAAGAAACGUGACAAAUAGAGUACAGUUUUAUAUUUCAUGAUUUCUCAAAAAGAAACGUGGUAGGUGUUUGCCGACAAUUAUUUUUCUUUUUAUACUAUGUUGUUAGUCUUGCACAUGAAAAUUACGUCGGUUUUUAAGGAAAUAUCACAUGGUUUGUCAUAACUCUAAGUGCUAUUAUUGUAGUUCAAUGAGAUAUCAAAGCAAAGGUGGUAACACAGUUUGGAAUUAAAAGCAUGUCUAGAAACCCAAGUCAAACACAAUAAUUACUCAUAUGAUAAUAUUUGAAACUUUUGAAAUAUACUCAAAAUUUACAACACCACGAACCCGCCAUACUUUUCUACGUGAUUUAUAAUCUACUGCAGCGAAUGGUGACAUGUUGGUAGACUUCACUUUCCGACUCAAUUCGCUAAGCUAGCACAUCUCCUCGCUUAGCAAAAUCACUCAACUCAACUUCUUUGCCUUUUUAGCUUGCUCUUCAUUCAUGGUCCUUCAAUACUACAAAAUUGCAUUGGGAAAAAGAUCAUUUCGUAACACAUGAAAUAUUACACGGGAUCUAGUUAUGUAAUACUUACAUUAAUUGCAUUGAGUGAUUAUCGUUAGGUUUCUUGUCAAAUAAGCUAAUUAAUGAGUACGUCUUAAAUUAUUAUAUAAGUGAAAAUAAGUAAUUUUGACAUUUAUCAACAUCCAAAUUUAUGUUGGUUGUGUGUUCAGCAUAUACUACCUUUUUUUCCAAUCUUCAUAUAGUGAUUUAGGGGCUCUUGCCACCCCAAAGACCAGAUUUUUAUAACACACAUCACAUGAAAUAUUUACAUAAGCUUUUCAUUUGCUGCCACGUUUCAUAAUGUUAUUGUUGCUCUCUCUUUUAUAUUUUGCCAAAACGUUAAAUUGGCUCUAUCAAAGAUCACAUGCUUUGUCGCAAGUCAAAAACUCUCUAACUAGCAUUUUAUGAAUUAGUUACUUUAAAAUUCAUUUCGGAUUCUCAUAAAUAAAUAUUAGACUAAAGUCUAAAACAUACAAACUAAUUUAAAAAUGUCAAAAGCUUUAUAAGAAUAUCACACAAGAAAUAUAAAAUUAAGCAUGUACUUUCAUUUUCAUUCAAUUUAAGCUGUCACUGCUUGACCCUACUAUAUAUGACUUAUUUAUCUUUUAAUCUAAAUAUUUUCAGUCCACCCUUGACCUUGAGUUGAGUUUAUAAAUAUCACCAAAUGUUUCCACUUAGCUUUAAGCCAAUAAUCCUACCU
rnacentral:lncRNA from 1 species